CCUACGGGAGGCAGCAGUGGGGAAUAUUGCACAAUGGGCGCAAGCCUGAUGCAGCCAUGCCGCGUGUGUGAAGAAGGCCUUCGGGUUGUAAAGCACUUUCAGCGGGGAGGAAGGCGGUGAGGUUAAUAACCUCAUCGAUUGACGUUACCCGCAGAAGAAGCACCGGCUAACUCCGUGCCAGCAGCGCGGUAAU
rnacentral:rRNA from 1 species